UUUCUAAGUUGAGGUGGAGGGUGAUGUGUAAAGUUGCCCUAAGUCACAAACAGGCAGGAGGCUGUCUUUGACGUCAGAAGCCUGGUCUGUCUCCUUUUUGGUGUGGCCUGUCCUGGACUUUGAGAGCCCAGGUGACCCCUGUCCCAGUGAGAAGCCGGAGUUCCAUAAGAGGUCCCCGCAUCAAUGAAAUGAGUGGCGCAGCAAGCCAGGCAGGCAGGGGCGGGGCUUUGCAUCCCUGCUUUGCUGGGUGGUAUUUGUCGGGGUUCCUCACAGCUCACCUGCACCGGCAGCCCUGUUUCGUAGAUUUUGACAAGGUAAAUGUGACAGUGGAGUUGCUGCAACCUGUAACUGCUGUGACAUUUAUCACAAAUCUUAAACACAGGGCUGCUGUUUUUCAGCUGAGAUUGUGUCCUGUGGCAUUUUCCAAAACCAGCUGUAAAGUAUUUCUCUUUAAACAUCUGACCAUUGAUUCUGUAAAAAACCUUUGAUUAAACGUGUUGGAGGUUGUGUAGUGUGUAGAGGCGUUCAUAAGAACUGAGCCCCAUGGCUCACAGGCCUGCAGGGCCCCUUCCUGCCCGACUGCCAGGUGCUGAGGUUCCAGCCCAGCCUCCUCUCUUCAGGCCUUCUGAGUCUUCCGCCUAGGAUUGGGGUCCUCUGUGAGUGAUGAGGGUGCCUGUGGGCCUUUCUCCUAGUGAGCAGAGGUCCGGGCAGGAUCGGGUAGGGGUGGAGAAGCCGCCAGAAGGGACCUGGGCGCCGAGGAGCAAGGCCUGAGCGCCAGGCCCUGUGGAGGAACGUCUGGCAAGCACAGUUCAUUUAUUUGUUUUUAUUUUUAUUUAUUCAUUUUUUUGACACAGAAUUUCGCUCUUGCCGCCCAGGCUGGAGUACAGUGGCACGAUCUCGGCUCACUGCAAGCUCCGCCUCCUGGAUUCAAGCGAUUCUCCGGCCUCAGCCUCCCAAGUAGCCGAGAUUACAGGCUCCCACCACCGUGCCCAGCUAAUUUUUGUUAUUUUUAAUAGAGACGGGGUUUCACCAUGUUGGCCUGGCUGGUCUCAAACUCCUGACCUCAGGUGAUCCUACCACUUCGGCCUCCCACAUGCUGGGAUUACGGGCGUGAGCCACUGCGCCUGGCCUUUUAUUGUAUUUUUUAUGUAUUUUUUGAGACAAAAUCUCUCUCUGCUGCCCAGGCUGGAGGGCAGUGGCACUAUCACAGCUCGUUACAGCCUCAACCUCCUGGGCUCAAGCGAUUCUCCCUGACCUCAGCCUCCCAAGUAGCAGAAACUGCAGGUGUGCACCACCAUGCCUGGCUACUUUUUUUUUUUUUUUUUUUUUUUUUUUGGGUAGAGACAGAGUCUCACUGUGUUGCCUAGGCUGGUCUCGAAGUCUUGGACUCAAGCAAUCCACCCACCUUGGGCUCCCAAAGCGCUGGGAUCACAGGCAUGAGCCAUGCCCAGGCGGAAGCUCAGUUUUAAACAGCUGUUUUCAGAGCCACCAGCUCCAUUUCCUAUGUCCGGCUCCGUUUUAGGCUCACGGAAUUUGAAGACACCCCCACCAGUCAGUUGACCAUUGAUGAGUUCAUGAAGAUCGACCUGGAGGAGGAGUGCGACCCCCCUUCAUACACAGCUGGGCAGAGGAAGCUGCGGAUGAAGCAGCUUGAACAAGUCCUGUCAAAAAAACUGGAGGAGGUUGAAGGUGAAAUAUCCAGUUACCAGGAUGCAAUUGAGAUUGAACUAGAAAACAGCCGGCCAAAGGCCAAGGGGGGCCUGGCCAGCCUGGCAAAAGAUGGCUCCACCGAGGACACUACGUCCAGCUUGUGUGGCGAGGAGGACACAGAGGAUGAGGAGCUGGAGGCCGCGGCCAGCCACCUGAACAAGGACUUAUACCGGGAGCUCCUUGGCGGCGCCCCCGGCAGCUCGGAAGCAGCAGGAAGCCCCGAGUGGGGCGGCAGACCUCCAGCCCUGGGGUCCCUGCUGGACCCCCUCCCCACUGCGGCCAGCCUGGGCAUCUCAGACUCCAUCCGCGAAUGCAUCUCCUCUCAGAGCAGCGACCCCAAAGAUGCUUCGGGAGAUGGCGAGCUGGACCUCAGUGGCAUUGAUGACCUGGAGAUUGAUAGGUACAUCCUGAAUGAGUCGGAAGCUCGCGUGAAGGCCGAGCUGUGGAUGAGGGAGAACGCCGAGUACCUGCGGGAACAGAGGGAAAAAGAAGCAAGAAUAGCCAAAGAGAAGGAGCUCGGCAUCUACAAGGAGCACAAGCCCAAGAAGUCUUGCAAGCGACGGGAGCCAAUUCAGGCCAGUACUGCCAGGGAGGCCAUCGAGAAGAUGCUGGAGCAGAAGAAGAUCUCCAGCAAAAUCAACUACAGCGUGCUCCGGGGCCUCAGCAGCGCCGGCGGGGGCAGCCCACACAGGGAGGAUGCGCAGCCC
rnacentral:sRNA from 1 species